GCGAAGGUGGCGGAAUUGGUAGGGACGCGCUAGCUUCAGGUGUUAGUGUCCUUACGGACGUGGGGGUUCAAGUCCCCCCCCUCGCACCA
rnacentral:tRNA from 1 species